UACGGGGGGUGCAAACGUUGCUCGGAAUUAUUGGGCGUAAAGCGCACGUAGGCGGCUUUGCAAGUCCCAUGUGAAAUCCCACGGCUCAACCGUGGAAGUGCAUGGGAAACUGCAGAGCUUGAGUACUUAAGAGGAUCGCGGAAUUCCCGGUGUAGAGGUGAAAUUCGUAGAUAUCGGGAGGAAGACCAGUGGCGAAGGCGGAUCUCUGGACAGUUACUGACACUGAGGCACGAAGGCCAGGGGAGCAAACGGG
rnacentral:rRNA from 1 species